AGUGAACGCUGGCGGUAGGCCUAACACAUGCAAGUCGAACGGCAGCACAGUAAAAGCUUGCUCUUACGGGUGGCGAGUGGCGGACGGGUGAGGAAUACAUCGGAAUCUACUUUUUCGUGGGGGAUAACGUAGGGAAACUUACGCUAAUACCGCAUACGACCUACGGGUGAAAGCAGGGGAUCUUCGGACCUUGCGCGAUUGAAUGAGCCGAUGUCGGAUUAGCUAGUUGGCGGGGUAAAGGCCCACCAAGGCGACGAUCCGUAGCUGGUCUGAGAGGAUGAUCCGCCACACUGGAACUGAGACACGGUCCAGACUCCUACGGGAGGCAGCAGUGGGGAAUAUUGGACAAUGGGCGCAAGCCUGAUCCAGCCAUACCGCGUGGGUGAAGAAGGCCUUCGGGUUGUAAAGCCCUUUUGUUGGGAAAGAAAAGCAGCAGGUUAAUACCCCGCUGUUCUGACGGUACCCAAAGAAUAAGCACCGGCUAACUUCGUG
rnacentral:rRNA from 1 species